rnacentral:rRNA from 1 species
UACAGAGGUGGCAAGCGUUGUUCGGAAUUACUGGGCGUAAAGGGCGCGUAGGCGGUUCGUUAAGUCCUGUGUGAAAUCCCCCGGCUCAACUGGGGAACUGCACAGGAAACUAGCGGGCUUGAGUUCGGGAGAGGGAUGCGGAAUUCCAGGUGUAGCGGUGAAAUGCGUAGAUAUCUGGAGGAACACCGGUGGCGAAGGCGGCAUCCUGGACCAAUUCUGACGCUGAGGAGCGAAAGCCAGGGGAGCAAACGGG